rnacentral:rRNA from 1 species
AGAGUUGAUCAUGGCUCAGGAUGAACGCUGGCGGCGCGCUUAACACAUGCAAGUCGAACGGUUAAAGCACCCUCGGGUGUGGAUAGAGUGGCGAACGGCUGAGUAACACGUGGGCAACCUGCCCCCCGCACCGGGAUAGCCUCGGGAAACCGUGGGUAAUACCGGAUACUCCGCGACCGGCGCAUGCCGGGCGCGGGAAAGCGGAAACGGCGGGGGAUGGGCCCGCGGCCUGUUAGCUAGUUGGCGGGGCAACGGCCCACCAAGGCGAUUAUGGGUAGCCGGGUUGAGAGACCGACCGGCCAGAUUGGGACUGAGACACGGCCCAGACUCCUACGGGAGGCAGCAGUGGGGAAUCUUGCACAAUGGGCGAAAGCCUGAUGCAGCCGACGCCGCGUGCGGGAUGAAGGCCCUCGGGUUGUAAACCGCUUUCAGCAGGGACGAGGCGCAAGUGACGGUACCUGCAGAAGAAGCCCCGGCUAACUACGUGCCAGCAGCAGC